GAUGAACGCUGGCGGCGUGCCUAAUACAUGCCAGUCGAGCGAACGGACGAGAAGCUUGCUUGUCUGAUGUUAGCGGCGGACGGGUGAGUAACACGUGGAUAACCUACCUAUAAGACUGGGAUAACUUCGGGAAACCGUAGCUAAUACCGGAGAAUAUUUUGAACCGCAUGGUUCAAAAGUGAAAGACGGUCUUGCUGUCACUUAUCGCUGGAUCUGCGCUGCAUUAGCUAGUUGGUAAGGUAACGGCCUAUCAAGGCAACGAGGCAUAGCCGAACGGAGAGAGGGAUAGCCCACAUGGGAAGGGGACCACGGACCAUACUCCUACGGGAGGGAGCAGUAGGGAAUGUUACGCAAUGGGCGAAAGCCUGACGGAGCAACGCCGCGUGUGUGAUGACGGUCUUCGGUUCGUAAAACUCUGUUAUUAGGGAAGAACAGAUGUGUAAGGAACUGUGCACAGCGUGACGGUACCUAAUCAGAAAGCCACGGCUAACUACGUG
rnacentral:rRNA from 1 species